UCGGCUAGGGGGCCAUCCCGGCUUACCAACCCGAUGCAAACUGCGAAUACCGGAGAAUGUUAUCACGGGAGACACACGGCGGGUGCUAACGUCCGUCGUGAAGAGGGAAACAACCCAGACCGCCAGCUAAGGUCCCAAAGUCAUGGUUAAGUGGGAAACGAUGUGGGAAGGCCCAGACAGCCAGGAUGUUGGCUUAGAAGCAGCCAUCAUUUAAAGAAAGCGUAAUAGCUCACUGGUCGAGUCGGCCUGCGCGGAAGAUGUAACGGGGCUAAACCAUGCACCGAAGCUGCGGCAGCGACACUCAGGUGUUGUUGGGUAGGGGAGCGUUCUGUAAGCCUGUGAAGGUGGCCUGUGAGGGUUGCUGGAGGUAUCAGAAGUGCGAAUGCUGACAUAAGUAACGAUAAAGCGGGUGAAAAGCCCGCUCGCCGGAAGACCAAGGGUUCCUGUCCAACGUUAAUCGGGGCAGGGUGAGUCGACCCCUAAGGCGAGGCCGAAAGGCGUAGUCGAUGGGAAACAGGUUAAUAUUCCUGUACUUGGUGUUACUGCGAAGGGGGGACGGAGAAGGCUAUGUUGGCCGGGCGACGGUUGUCCCGGUUUAAGCGUGUAGGUGUGUGUUCCAGGUAAAUCCGGUUCACUUUAACACUGAGGCGUGAUGACGAGGCACUACGGUGCUGAAGCAACAAAUGCCCUGCUUCCAGGAAAAGCCUCUAAGCAUCAGGUAACAUCAAAUCGUACCCCAAACCGACACAGGUGGUCAGGUAGAGAAUACCAAGGCGCUUGAGAGAACUCGGGUGA
rnacentral:rRNA from 1 species